rnacentral:lncRNA from 1 species
AGACAAAAGGGGGCCACUCUGCCCUUUUGUGGAAUAGUUUGGACAUGCCUACGGAAUAAAAAACAAACGGCGCGCGCGUGUGUGUGUGUGUGUGCGUGUGUGUCCAACUGGAAAAACAAAGUGAAGGAACAGGAAUCAUUAUUGUGUGUGAAUAUAAUAGAUUUGAUAUGUUGUAUUGAGAUGCAUUUUACCUACUUUUCUUUCACAUUCAUAGACUACAUCCUGACUUGCAUAAAUAAAUAAUAUAAUAAUAAACGAAAUAAUAAUAAACGGAUGACGGUUAGGGGCCGCUUCUGCCAUCUGGUGGCUGCUGAGGGGACCUCAACGGACGACACUUAGGUUUUGGCUGUGCAAAGCUGCUACAGACAGCAGCAUAUGUGAUGCCCGACUGGAUAUCUCGGCGGGUUAUGGUACGGCGGCUCGGUGUCGUGUGGAUCGUCUAGUCGGCGACCACCGCCCCUGUCGUCUCCGGCCCCCGUCGGGCGCAUUUUCUCCGCGGUGGUGCGCCGCGACCGGCUCUGGGUCGGCUUGGAAGAGUUUGGGGGUGAAGGUGGCCGGAGGCUCGACCGUCUCUGGCUUUACAGCACUCUCUGCUCCGACCUCGUCGCUUCCUGGGGCCGUGGACGCAGUACCUCGCUGUGCCUUCCUCCUCCCACCCGGGGGGGGACGGGGCCCCCUCGCCCCCGGCGUGACUGUCAACCGGGACGGACUGUCCUCAGUGCGUCUCAACCGCGUCGCGUCGUUCAGGGCGGGGACCGGCUCACGUACUAUUUGGGUCUCCCCAAAUAGUUUUCAUGCAGAUCCAUAUGACAUAUUUCACAAUUUAAGCAAAAAAAUCAAAAAAUUGUUCGUCACCACAUAUGCUGACGAGGAAGCGAAGGGUUUUGCCUUUACUCCGGCAUCUUGACUCCACCUGACAGCACAUUUGGUGAAGUCCUAAAAAUGAUGUUUAAAAAUGGAAAACGACAUCAGGGGUUGUGAGGCUGAGUUACUAACAUCUCCCCAAAGAGUUUUCAUGCAUGAUAUGAUA